ACAUGAAAGCAAUUAUUCUAAAAGUUCAAUUCCAAGGAGUUGAUGGCAGAUAUCAAGGACUAGGAGUCGGAAUGGAAGGGAUUUCGGGAACCUUCGGAAGGGGAGAAACUUCUGGUAAAGAAGGCAGUGGUGGUAAGACGUUCGUGAUUGUCGGUAUUUUAGGCAGAGGUGGCAGCUCAACCUUUGGGAUGGUGGGUUCUGAAAGAGUCGGCAUUUCAGGCAGCGGUGGUAAUGUGAUCUUGGGUAUGGUGGGCACGGGCAGAGUAGGCAUUUCGGGCAAUGGUGGUAAGGUGAUCUUGGGGAUGCUGGGCUCUGGCAGAGUUGGCACUUGGGGCUGUGGUGGUAACGUGAUCUUAGGGAUGGUGGGCUCUGUUAGAGAUGGAACUUUGGGUAACGGCGGUAUCUCGGUUGUGUUCAACAAACUGCGAGCGGCAUGGCUCACAGAGCCAUUACUGAGUAGCAAGAUUGCAAUUCCCAUUGCUAGAAGGGAAAUGUAA
rnacentral:misc_RNA from 1 species